AACGAACGCUGGCGGCAUGCCUAACACAUGCAAGUCGAACGAGACCUUCGGGUCUAGUGGCGCACGGGUGCGUAACGCGUGGGAACCUGCCCUUAGGUUCGGAAUAACUCCCCGAAAGGGGUGCUAAUACCGGAUAAUGUCUUCGGACCAAAGAUUUAUCGCCUUUGGAUGGGCCCGCGUUGGAUUAGCUAGUUGGUAGGGUAAAAGCCUACCAAGGCGACGAUCCAUAGCUGGUCUGAGAGGAUGAUCAGCCACACUGGGACUGAGACACGGCCCAGACUCCUACGGGAGGAAGCAGUGGGGAAUAUUGGACAAUGGGCGAAAGCCUGAUCCAGCAAUGCCGCGUGAGUGAUGAAGGCCUUAGGGUUGUAAAGCUCUUUUACCCGGGAUGAUAAUGACAGUACCGGGAGAAUAAACUCCGGCUAACUCCGU
rnacentral:rRNA from 1 species